GAUGAACGCUGGCGGCGUGCUUAACACAUGCAAGUCGAACGGAAAGGCCCAAGCUUGCUUGGGUACUCGAGUGGCGAACGGGUGAGUAACACGUGGGUGAUCUGCCCUGCACUUCGGGAUAAGCCUGGGAAACUGGGUCUAAUACCGGAUAGGACCACUUCUUGGAUGUUGUGGUGGAAAGUUUUUUCGGUGUGGGAUGAGCUCGCGGCCUAUCAGCUUGUUGGUGGGGUAAUAGCCUACCAAGGCGUCGACGGGUAGCCGGCCUGAGAGGGUGUACGGCCACAUUGGGACUGAGAUACGGCCCAGACUCCUACGGGAGGCAGCGGUGGGGAAUAUUGCACAAUGGGCGCAAGCCUGAUGCAGCGACGCCGCGUGGGGGAUGACGGCCUUCGGGUUGUAAACUCCUUUCGCUAGGGACGAAGCGUUUUGUGACGGUACCUGGAGAAGAAGCACCGGCUAACUACGUG
rnacentral:rRNA from 1 species